GAUGAACGCUGGCGGCGUGCUUAACACAUGCAAGUCGAACGAUGAAGCCCAGCUUGCUGGGUGGAUUAGUGGCGAACGGGUGAGUAACACGUGAGUAACCUGCCCUUAACUCUGGGAUAAGCCUGGGAAACUGGGUCUAAUACCGGAUAGGAGCGUCCACCGCAUGGUGGGUGUUGGAAAGAUUUAUCGGUUUUGGAUGGACUCGCGGCCUAUCAGCUUGUUGGUGAGGUAAUGGCUCACCAAGGCGACGACGGGUAGCCGGCCUGAGAGGGUGACCGGCCACACUGGGACUGAGACACCGCCCAGACUCCUACGGGAGGCAGCAGUGGGGAAUAUUGCACAAUGGGCGCAAGCCUGAUGCAGCGACGCCGCGUGAGGGAUGACGGCCUUCGGGUUGUAAACCUCUUUCAGUAGGGAAGAAGCGAAAGUGACGGUACCUGCAGAAGAAGCACCGGCUAACUACGUG
rnacentral:rRNA from 1 species